rnacentral:snRNA from 2 species
AGCCGUGCAGUGCACACAGAGCGAACUAUUCUUUCGCCUUUUACUAAAGAAUACCGUGUGUGCGUUGCAGACAGCGGCAUACGCCUAUUUUUGGAGGGCUCUUCCUAGCCGGAGGAGC